UACGUAGGGUCCGAGCGUUAUCCGGAAUUACUGGGCGUAAAGAGCUCGUAGGUGGUUUGUCGCGUUGUUCGUGAAAACUCACAGCUUAACUGUGGGCGUGCGGGCGAUACGGGCAGACUGGAGUACUGCAGGGGAGACUGGAAUUCCUGGUGUAGCGGUGGAAUGCGCAGAUAUCAGGAGGAACACCGGUGGCGAAGGCGGGGUCUCUGGGCAGUAACUGACGCUGGAGGAGCGAAAAGCGUGGGGAGCGAACAGG
rnacentral:rRNA from 1 species